AAGAUAAUAAUAGUCGAACAGACUAUUUAUUUAAGCUUCUUCACUUAAUAAAAUUCUUAAUUCAACAUCGAGGUCAUAAUCAAAAUUAUAAAUAAGAACUUUAUAAUUUUAUUAUG
rnacentral:rRNA from 1 species